GUGUAACAACUCACCUGCCGAAUGGACUAGCCCCGAAAAUGGAUAACGCUCAAGCCGACGACCUAUACACGACCGUUGGCGCAAAUGCGAUGCGCCAACGAGUAGGAGGGCGUGGUGAUCGUGAAGCAGCUUUGGACGUGAGUCUGAGUGAAACGGUCACUAGUGCAGAUCUUGGUGGUAGUAGCAAAUAUUCAAAUGAGAACUUUGAAGACCGAAGUGGAGAAAGGUUCCAUGUGAACAGCAAUUGGACAUGGGUUAGUCGGUCCUAAGAGAUAGGGGAACUCCGUGUUAAGGGGGUCAUCUGACCCCGCCUAUCGAAAGGGAACCGGGUUAAUAUUCCCGGACCAGCGUGUGGAUAUUGCAUGGCAACAUAAAUGAACUUCACGACGACAGUGGGAGCCCUGGGAAGAGUUGUCUUUUCUUUUUAACAUGCUAUCACCGUGGAAUCGGGUUAACCGGAGAUACGGUUGCAUGCAUGGCAAAGCACCUUACGUCUUGAGGUGUCCGGUGCGCUCCUGAUGUCCCUUGAAAAGUGAAGGGAAGCGUUCAUUCUCACACCUGGCCGUACUCAUAACCGCAUCAGGUCUCCAAGGUGACUAGCCUCUGGUCGAU
rnacentral:rRNA from 1 species